ensembl:snRNA U6 U6 spliceosomal RNA
AUGCUGGCUUCGGCAGCACAUAUACUAAAAUUGGAACCAAAAAGUGAAGAUUAGCAUGGCCCUGAGCAAGGCUGAUGCAAAUUUGUGAAGUGUUAAAUAUUUAU